GACGGAGGGUGCUAGCGUUGUUCGGAAUCACUGGGCGUAAAGGGCGCGUAGGCGGCCUCAGGUGUCGGAUGUGAAAGCCCGGGGCUCAACCCCGGAGGUGCAUCCGAAACUCUGGGGCUGGAGGUCGGAAGAGGAGGGUGGAAUACCCAGUGUAGAGGUGAAAUUCGUAGAUAUUGGGUGGAACACCGGUGGCGAAGGCGGGUCUCUGGGCCGAUACUGACGCUGAGGAGCGAAAGCGUGGGGAGCGAACAGG
rnacentral:rRNA from 1 species